rnacentral:misc_RNA from 1 species
GUUUAGUAUCUGUAUUAUUAUUUUCAUGAUACUUUGGGAAAUUAAGUUGCUUAUUUUGUGUUCCCUGUUUUAAGAUUGGCCGUGUAAGCUUUUCCUUGGAAUUACACCUCUGUUAAACAACUUUUGAACUAAUGUUUGUUCUUUUGUUGAAGGCCAUACUUGGAUUGGUGUGUAAACGGAAAUUUUGGGCUGGUACCUCCAA